CCCUGCGCAUCCGAGGGCGGCGGUGCCACCCGGGACUGUCGUGAACCCAGACAGUUCUUUUUGCAGACAGGUCCCAACGCACGGUUUGACUCACAACUUGAACUUGGGGUGGGAGGCGGGGAACUAAGACCUCGGGUCUCCUCCAGCCCCCAGGGACCUGCACUGGGCUGGUGCCCUGGUGAGGGAGGCUGGAAAACGCAGCAGGCGGCAGGGCCGGGCGAGGAGCACCCGCGCGGUCGCCUCUCUUCGGUUUCGCACUCUCGCCCCCUCCUGGCGUCCCCGCAUCACCUCCCGCCGCCGCCGCCGCCGCCGUCGCCCUCGGCCGGCGGCCGCCGCCGUCUGGAGGCGGCGAUGACUCAGGCCUUUACCUCGCUGGCCGCUUACGGAGCCGGAAGCUCCCAACCUCGAAGUGCUGGGGGUCCUGAACUGUCUGAACUCCACUGAGAAGCAGGUUCAGCCCCUACCUGACCUCCAGCAAUAGUUGUUCCGGUCUGUCUCAGUUUCCUCAUCUGUAAAGUGGUUCUGGGGGCCUGAUGGGUCAGUGUUCUAUCUGCAUAUACACCUGCUGGCCAGAAGAGGGCAUCAGAGCCACCAUGUGGUCCUGGGACUUGAACUCAGCCGCUCUGGAAGAGCAGCCAGCGCUCUCAGCUGAUGAGCCAUCUCUCCAGCCCCCUCUUUCUUUCUUUUUAUAUUAAAAAUGAUUUGUUUAUUUUUAUUUCAUGUGGACUGGUAUUUUGCCUUAAAGCAUGAAUGUCUGUAGGAGGAGGACAGAUACUUUGGAGUUACAGACACGUGUGAGCUGCUACAUGGGUGCUGGGGAUUGAACCCAGGUCCUCUGGAAGGGCAGCCAGUGCUCUUAACUGUGGAGCCAUCUCUCCAGCCUCACUGUGCUUUUCUUGAGGCUAAUCGGGAUCUCUGGGAUUAGGGAAUGAGGAGUUGUGUAUCCUCUUCACGGCCUUGACUGACUUUACUUUUGACUUCCUUUAUUUUUGUGCAGUGACAUUUUAUAGUUCUGUCUUCUAAGUAGGACUUGGCAUCCAGUAGUACAGAUCAUUAGAACUGUGUGUAAAGGGGCUGGCAAGAUGGCUUAGCAGGUAAAGGAGAUUGCUGCUAAGACUGGCGACCUGAGUUCUAGCCCUAGAACCCAUAUGGUAAGAGGAGAGAACCAACUCCUGCACGCUGUCCUCUGGCCGCCAGAAUCAGACACACGCUCACACUCGGGUAAAUAAAUGAAAUGGUUCAGUGGGUAAAGUGCUUGCCACAUGAAGUAUGAAGACCUGAGUUCUGAUUCCCAAAGCCCGUGUAAAUGUCAGGUGGGCGUGGGCUGCGUAGAACCUCAGCACUCACAUGGUGGGAAUAGGAACUUCAGAGAGAGCUGCCCUGCUAGACUAACCAGAGCAGCAUGUUCCAAGUACGUGGACAGAUCACGCCAAAACAUACAAUAGAAAGCAACCUAGGAAGACCACAGAUGCCAACCUCUGGCCUUCAGAUGCACACUUGGCCACAUACAUGCUAACAUACACAUACCUACACACGGGCGUGGGGGGGGGAGGAACGGGGUGGGGAGGAGCGGGGCAGGAGCCAGAGACUCUAAGUUUACUGGUGUUCAGGUGAACAGCUUUCCAAACACACCUCACCCAAUCUCUUAGCUCCACUCAGGUGUUUCCUGCUUCCUCUUAGACUAGCCUGAGGCACAGAUGUACCAAGCGUAUUGGGGCUGCUGCCACCCUGUGCUUAGUGUGGAUUCUUGGUUCUCUGGAUGUGAGAAAAUCUGUCAGCCCUAGGGUGACCAUACCCAGUCCCGUACUUGGUAAGCUCCAGGCCAGUGAAAGAUCCUCUCUCAACAACACGAAGUGAUGCAGGUGAGAAGAUUCAGAGACUAAGGUAGCUUGGCGCCAAACCUGAAGACCUGAGUUCCAAACAGUGAAAGAGAGAACUGACCCCCGAAGUUGUCGUCUAACCUUGACAUCUCUGACUUCCUGUGGGCACCAAGCUAAGAACUCUCCCCUUCCUAAAUAAAUAAAUGUGAUUAAAAUUUAAAAACAAAAUAAAGCCAGAGGGUGGUGGCGCACGCCUUUAAUCCUAGCACUACGGGGGCUGAGGCUGGCAGAGUUCUGUGACUUCGAGGACAGCCAGGUCUACAGAGUGAAUUCCUAGACAGCUAGGGCUACACGGGGAAACCCUGUCUUGGAAAACCAAAACCAAACAAACAGUACCAACAACAAAACCAAGUGGAGUGCUUGUGAGGAGCCCUAACCAAGGUAUGUCUGUUAAAUGUAUGCCCGCACAGGCGGGCGUGCACACACUCACACAAGCACACACACCCCUCGCGUCCUGCACAAACCUCACUCCACCACUAGGUGUCGCCCCAGCUCCUCAGUUUUGAGCCCAGCCCCAGGAGGUUCCUCACGCAGUUUGUCCUGAUUUCCCCGCCCCCAGACAAGCUGGGAGGUUAACACCUUGAUAGGAUAAGGAAGUUCAGCUCGGCUCUGAGUAGCAGCGCCCUUCCGUGGAAUUUCAGCCUCUGCUGACACCCGUGAUCUCAGGCACCUCCCUGGGCACAGGGGUUCCCACUUCUCCAGUGGUCUGCUUUCUGAAGUUUCAGAUAACAACAGAAAAUAUUCUGUGAAAAAGUCCAGAACUGUAAUGUCUGGUAUGUGACCCACUAAACACACAGACUGCAAACUUCUGGAAUAGAGGUUGACCUUGAACUCCGGAUUUGACACCAUAGUUGGUUCUGUGUGGUGUUGAGGAUUGGAACUCAGAGCUUCAUAUAAAACAGGCAAGCAUCUUGUCGACUGUUGGUUACACACCUUCAGCCCUCGAUCAGCUCAAUCCUCGAGUUUCCACUUGUACAGUCUUCUUAGCAGUGUGAGAGAGAGCCCUGCCUUUGCUGGCUGUCCUGCCUGGGGUGGGGGAGGGGACCUUCGCUGUGUGCAGGCUUUCCUCUCUACCUGGUGUUCUCUCAGUUUACUCAGAGCCCCCCAGUCCUCAGCAUGGCUACUGUGACGCUGCAGCCUGCACGUGUGUCUCACUUCAUAACUGUCUCAAACAAAUGAUUUUAGAUGGCCGAUCACAGCAGCCUUCUGAGAGAAAGUGAUUGAAGCAGAAAGAAGAGGAAAGGGUAUUGAAAUAUAGGGUCCAAGGGGAACAACACCCAGGAUUAUAUAUGGAUUCAGCUCUUGGAGCCGGUGUAUUCAUUUUUGUGGUUUCAUCUGUCUGCUGCACCUGAAGGUCAGCUCCAGGAGGGCUGGGCCUCACUGCUUCAUCAAAUCUGGUGAUGUGAACGGCUGAGGAAAUGAUUUCUCAAGAAGGGUUCUGUUCAGGGUUCUGUUGGGACUGCGGAGAGGUGUCUGGGACUAGACAGAGAAAUGAGAGGGGCAGAGCCGCUUUCCUCAGAACCCCGCCCCUCUCUCUUCUCCUCCCUGUCCUCUUUUGCCCUCCUCCUCUCCUUCCCCCUGUGGAGGCAGACCUUGGUUAACCACUAUUUUUUUUUCAGCCAUCACGUGGUGCCCCCUAGUGGCCACCUGAAGCAGUGCAGCCAGUGACUGCUGCCCCCCAAGAGUCGGGAUUCAGAUGUCCCCGCUUCAGCCCCAGCACGCUCUGGCAGGUGGUCCUUCCCUUGCUCUCCAAGUAGCUCCAUCCCCAAUCGGCCCCGCCCCAAGCCCCUUCCCUCCAUUCCUGGGGUUUCUCUGCAAACUGGCCUUGGAACUGGAAACCUAAGGGUGACUCAAUUACUCUCAGAAACUAAAGUCGCUUUCCCUCCUGGUUCAUUUUUUGCCAGCCAUUUUUUAGGUAUGUUUUUCUCUUUUUGUCUCCUUCACACGUGGUGUGCCUAGUUCCUUUGGGCUUGCAUACUGAGUGCUCACUGUGUGCAACCGGCUGCACCUUCCCCACCCUGCGUGUUUGUGCUGAGAUGGACCGAGCGCAAGGAACCCCACAUCGUCUCCUUGUAGAAAUCCUACCCGGACCUGUCUCUACCAGCACGCGAGAGUGGGGUGUAACUACAGCUGAUUGCCCUCUUAUCUUAAUCAGAAGAGGAAAGGUGUCCAGACCCUUAUUUUAGUGAGUUUCUACCUAGAAACCCCGCCUAGUCACGUCGACCCAGGCAGUGUAGACACUGGAGUGGAUCAUUUCACAAAUGCUAAGUUCAGGAGCGACCUGCCUGUGUUCUAUCUUGUCCGUGCUACUACUCCUGGGCUGUCUGGGCUUAAGCAUGUGACCUAACUUUUCUGUGCCUCAGUUUCCCUAUCUCUUAAAUGAGGGUAACCCUGACGCCCUACCAUCCAUAGAUAGGACACCCGGAGGCUUAAGCACCUUAGCUCCUGCUGUGCUUGUAAUACAAGCGUGACCAUUAGCCUUUCUACAAUGUUUGCUAUUAUGUUACUGUUUUAUUGAUAGCAGCUUCCUAACGCCCCCCUCCCACACACACACACAUGAGAUCUGAGGGUAUUCCCACCCCCAAGAUGGAGGAGGAAUGAGGUUUCUCAAUAGUAGAAGAUAGAUUGGACCCUCCACAUUUUGCAUAGCUUUUCUAGCUUACCCAAGAGACGGAGUACCACAGGGAGGCACCUGCAUCUGCCACACCAGGAAUGGGGUAUGCAUAGAGCCUAUACACACAGGGCCUGGAUGUCACGUUUGCACACACAGCCUGUCACCCUGAACACCCCGUUUUAGAGUGAUGUAUUCAACCAAAGGCACAGAGUGCCCUCACAUGGCCACACACCUGACUGUCACUCGAGUUUUGGACAACCCAGGCAUCUGGGCACAGCCAUGAGGACAAUUGUCACACCCCGUUAUUGACAUAUAGCGGGAGCCGGACAAACACACCACAGAGAUUCUCAGGUCCUCAUGCCGGGUCACACAGCCAGUCACAGACAGACCCACAACUCCUAUCUGUCAUCACACUGGUCCUCGGGUCACCCUGCCCCCACUGUCACUCACACACUCUCUCACACGUACACACACCCUCUCCCAGUCACACCCCAAUUCACUCACAUUUGAACACGCAUACACACACACAAACUCCCCUGGGUCACACCCAGCCACAACACAAAGACACACGUUUCCCCAGCACCCAGGAGCUGCAAGCACCUGGCGCACAUUCCUGUCAGUCAUUCACACGUGAGUCCCGCCCCUUUCCCCACUAUAGGGGU